GAUGAACGCUAGCGGCAGGCUUAAUACAUGCAAGUCGUGGGGCAGCAGGGUUGUAGCAAUACAAUCGCUGGCGACCGGCAAACGGGUGCGUAACACGUACGCAACCUUCCCGUUACUGUGGCAUAGCCCAGGGAAACUUGGAUUAAUACCACAUAUUAUAUGGAUGAGGCAGCUCAUUGAUAUUAAAGCUUCGGCGGUAACGGAUGGGCGUGCGGUUGAUUAGGUAGUUGGCGGGGUAACGGCCCACCAAGCCUACGAUCAAUAGCUGAUGUGAGAGCAUGAUCAGCAACACGGGCACUGAGACACGGGCCCGACUCCUACGGGAGGCAGCAGUAAGGAAUAUUGGGCAAUGGACGAAAGUCUGACCCAGCCAUGCCGCGUGAAGGAUUAAGGUCCUCUGGAUUGUAAACUUCUUUUCUCUGGGGCGAAAACCAGCUAUUCUUAGCUAUUUGACAGUACCAGAGGAAUAAGCACCGGCUAACUCCGUGCCAGCAGCCGCAGUAA
rnacentral:rRNA from 1 species